GGAAAUAGAAUAAACGGGAAAUCAGUACACAGCUUCAGUUUCUACAAAAAACAAAAAGAGAAAUGCAUUACAAAUACAGGACUGUAAUAGUGCAUUGGAGAAAAUUUGGCAACCAAUAGAGAAGAUAACAAAAUAAAGUGUAGAGAGAGAUCAAUAUCAAAAAAGGACUAACCAUGUUUCUUCUUCCAGCACAUGAUAACUUCCUCUUCAAACAUUUCACUUUCUGAAAAAAUUAGGAUGACAACAAUUUAUAAGCCAUCAGAAAAAAAACACUUAAAGUUAAACCAACAAAAACAAAAACACAUACAUGAUCCAUAUAGAAGUCAAAUAGAGAUUUGUCAAGCCCUCCUAGAGACUUCCUGAAAUAAAGUUAAAGUGAACAUACACAUAAAUUUAAAAAUGAAAAGAAAUAGUUCAAAUUAAUUAAAACUAGGGAAGAAAAAGAAAUAAAUACCAAAGACAUAGGAUUAGAACCAUCAUCGCAAAAUCGUUAGGCACAAACGGAUCAUUCAGAGAAUCUGCACUCUCAAGAGAGAGACUAGUGGUACACCCUUGUGAGAAACUUUCCGCAGCCGCCCCAUUGAAGCAAACCUAAAAUAAAAAAGGCAAAUGAAGCAGAACCAACACAAACACUACAAACAACAAUCCCCAAACCU
rnacentral:lncRNA from 1 species